rnacentral:rRNA from 1 species
GAUGAACGCUAGCGACAGGCCUAACACAUGCAAGUCGAGGGGCAGCACGAAGUAAGCUUGCUUACUUUGGUGGCGACCGGCGCACGGGUGCGUAACAGGUGUGCAAUCUGUCCAUAAUCGGGGAAUAGCCCAGCGAAAGUUGGAUUAAUGCUCCAUGUGAGCGAGGGAGGCAUCUCCCUUGUUUGAAACGUAAGGAUUAUGGGUGAGCACGCUUCUGAUUAGGUAGUUGGUGAGGUAACGGCUCACCAAGCCGACGAUCAGUAGGGGUUCUGAGAGGAAGGUCCCCCACAUUGGAACUGAGACACGGUCCAAACUCCUACGGGAGGCAGCAGUGAGGAAUAUUGGUCAAUGGACGAAAGUCUGAACCAGCCAAGUCGCGUGAAGGAUGAAGGUUCUAUGGAUUGUAAACUUCUUUUGUCUGAGGGUAAAAAAGCGGACGUGUCCGUUCUUGCAAGUAUCAGACGAAUAAGCAUCGGCUAACUCCGUGCCAGCCGCCGCGGUAAUAC